rnacentral:rRNA from 1 species
AUAGUGACGGUAUCUAAGGAGCAAGCCACGGUUAACUACGUGCCAGCAGCCGCGGUAAUACGUAGGGGGCAAGCGUUAUCCGGAUUUACUGGGUGUAAAGGGACCGUAGACGGAGCUGCAAGUCUGAUGUGAAAGCCCGGGGCUCAACCCCGGGACUGCAUUGGAAACUGUAGAUCUAGAGUGCCGGAGAGGUAAGCGGAAUUCCUAGUGUAGCGGUGAAAUGCGUAGAUAUUAGGAGGAACACCAGUGGCGAAGGCGGCUUACUGGACGGUGACUGACGUUGAGGCUCGAAAGCGUGGGGAGC